rnacentral:lncRNA from 1 species
UAAAAGUAUCUUUGUUGAUGGCAUUAGAGGACACUGAAGAACAACAUCCAAAAGAUUAUUAUUUGUAAUGAUGGAAGUAGUUUUGGAGGUGGCAAAAGCUGUAGUAAUCUUGGCCAUAACAGCAAUCAGUCUUCGAAUUUUGGAUCCAUGAAGGGAGGAGGAUUUGGAGGCAGAAGCCCUGGCCCCUAUGGUGAUGGAGGCCAAUAUUUUGCCAAAACAUGAAACCAAGAUGGCUAUGGCAGUUCCAGCAGCCCUGGUGGCCAGGGCGGUGGCAGAAAGCUUUA